AAUCGUGGAUCAGAAUGCCACGGUGAAUACGUUCCCGGGCCUUGUACACACCGCCCGUCACACCAUGGGAGUGGGCUGCAAAAGAAGUAGGUAGUUUAACCUUCGGGGGGACGCUUACCACUUUGUGGUUCAUGACUGGGGUGAAGUCGUAACAAGGUAGCGCUAGGGGAACCUGGCGCUGGAUCACCUCCUUAAACGAUGAU
rnacentral:rRNA from 1 species